GCGAAAGUGGCGAAACUGGUAGACGCCCUGGACUUAGGAUCCAGUGCCUUCGGGUGUGGGGGUUCGAAUCCCCCCUUUCGCACCA
rnacentral:tRNA from 2 species